UACGUAGGCGGAAAAUUAAGUCGGUAGUGAAAUCCUGCAGCUUAACUGUAGAACUGUUAUUGAUACUGGUUUUCUUGAAUAUAGUUGAGGUAGGCGGACUGUGUAAUGUAGCGGUGAAAUGCUUAGAUAUUACACAGAACACCGAUUGCGAAGGCAGCUUACUAAGCUAUGAUUGACGCUGAGGUACGAAAGCGUGGGGAGCGAACAGGAUUAGAUACCCUGGUAGUCC
rnacentral:rRNA from 1 species